CGCGGGGUAGAGCAGUAGGUAGCUCGCCAGGCUCAUAAUCUGGAGGUCGUGUGGUUCGAGUCCCACCCCCGCUA
rnacentral:tRNA from 1 species